UUCGGACUGCAGGCUGCAACCCGCCUGCACGAAGCCGGNGUUGCUAGUAAUCGCGAAUCAGAAUGUCGCGGUGAAUGCGUUCCCGGGUCUUGUACACACCGCCCGUCACACCAUGGAAGUUGGGGGUGCCCAAAGCCGGCAAGCAAAUAUGCUGUCUAAGGCAAAACCAAUGACUGGGGUGAAGUCGUAACAAGGUAUC
rnacentral:rRNA from 1 species